rnacentral:rRNA from 1 species
CUUUAAGGGUCCUAAAGGAACGUUUAAGACGAAGACGUUGAUAGGCUGGGUGUGUAAGCGUAGCGAUACGUUGAGCUAACCAGUACUAAUGAACCGUGAGGCUUAACCUGACAACACCGAAGGUGUUUUAG